AGAGCUCAAGGCUGAGGCUGGUUGUUUUCUUGCCUCCCUGGGUUUGUGAGAGACCAGCUGCAAAAUCAUUAAUUGCUUUGAUCGAGGCAGUGACUCCAGCGCCUGAGACAACAUGACGAUAAAUUGCCAAGGCAGCUCUUCUAUGGCUCAUAACUGAGAAUGAAGACCCUUCGUGACGGAUCCGUGGGGCCUCUUCCCACCCAACAGACUGGAAUCCCUAAAGUGGGAGGCUUCUGACUUCCUAACAAAUGCCUGACUCGAUUUUGCAAAUACAGGUUCAAUCUUAACAGGCUCCCUCUUCACUCCAGAUGCCUGAAGUGGACAAAAAAGGAAACACAACAGCCUUCUUAGUGAAUAACAGCGUCGGUGGGAUGGUGGUGAGGGAUGGGAGGGGGAGUGAGCUAUGGGCUGUCCUUCUUUUUACUUUCCAUUUCACCCUAUUCAAGUGCUUCCGAGUGGAAUUCAAGUCCCAGCUCAAGAUGCUGUCAGGCAGGACACAGGAGUAUGCUUUGUCUAAUCUGCAUACCCUGCCCUAUCUACGCACUAAUGGGAGCUCCACAUUUAAUAAACAUUUCA